rnacentral:rRNA from 1 species
AAGACCCUAUAGAGUUUGAUAUUUAAAAAAUAUUAUUAUAUCANAUUUAUUUAUUUAUUAUUUUGGAAAGUAUUUUAUUGGGGUGAUAGAAAAAUUUGAUUAACUUUUUUUUAAAAAAAAUUACAUUAAUUUAUGUUUAUUUGAUCCAUUUUUUAUGAUUAUAAGAUUAAAUUACCUUAGGGAUAACAGCGUAAUUUUUUUUGAGAGUUCAUAUCGAAAGAAAAGUUUGCGACCUCNAUGUUGGAUUAAAAU